UACGUAGGGGGCAAGCGUUGUCCGGAAUCAUUGGGCGUAAAGCGCGUGUAGGCGGUUACGUAAGUCUGCUGUGAAAGUCGGAGGCUCAACCUCCGAAAGCCGGUGGAUACUGCGUGACUAGAGUACGGAAGAGGAGAGUGGAAUUCCUGGUGUAGCGGUGAAAUGCGCAGAUAUCAGGAGGAACACCAACGGCGAAGGCAGCUCUCUGGGACGUUACUGACGCUGAGACGCGAAAGCGUGGGGAGCAAACAGG
rnacentral:rRNA from 1 species